rnacentral:sRNA from 2 species
ACACGGGAGAGGAGGUGGUCUGAAGUUGCAUAGCAUUCGGACGCGUGAGGUGGCUGCCCGCUAGCCGCCACUCCGGUUUACCGGCUCGGCAGGCCCCGUCGUGAGUGCACCGCGACGGACGCAGGCAGGCGGCCGGCAACACCAGGCAGACACCCGACCCGCAGGUCGCCGGGAUCGUCCCCCGGCCUUCGACCCACCUCACCGAGGUGGACGGAGAAGCGACCUGCGGGUCGCUGUCG